ACACACAGGACACACGGCCCCACUAGGGAGGCUGUGCCCCCUUCCAGGCUUGGGGUGGCUGCUGCUGUCUCAUCUUUGAGCUGAUGCCCCAUACUUCCUGCAGGAGCCGGUGUCCUGCCUGGGGCUGGCGGCAUCCCAGGGGUGGGCGGCGUGGUGCCCGGUGUCGGUGUUGUUCCAGGAGCUGGAGUGGGAGGCCCGGCAGCGGCAGCAGCUGCAGCGAAGGCAGCAGCGAAAGCAGGAGCCUAUGGUGAGUCCCUGCUCCUGAGCCCUGCUGGCGAGGCUUUGUGGGGCGCUUUGCUUUUGGGAUGCUCCCCCAGCCCACAGCCCUGCACGGAGAUGUGCACAGCUCCCAGGGACUGCAGUCCGUUAGCAGAGGGAUGGGCUGAGAUCUGCAGUUCCCUGCUCCCCCCUUGGCAGAAGCACUUAGUUUCACAGCAGCAAACCCGUGCUCAUUGGAGCAUCCAGAGGAAAUGCGUCAGCCCCAGCAGCAGCUGGGAUUGAUGAGCCCGUCCUUGGGGGACCUCGCGGUCCCGCCAGCUGCCACCAACUCCUGAGUGGCCACAUGGGCUGUAGGGCUGGGGAGCUGGGAAUCCCCUGCCUGGAUGUAUGCAUGCUGUGGGGACACUGCAUCAUGCACACUGCCGUGUGAACAUCACAGCGCUUGCAGAGCAGCACAGCAGUUGGCGAGCAUCUUCUUCCUCAUCCCAUGCCUGUGCCAGCAGUGCUAGGGGGAGCUCAUCCACCCUUGGUCCCCGGUGCAGCCCCAGGGGAUGUGCAUGGGGCACCUGAUCAGGGAGCUCUGGGCCCACUACAGCUUCCAGCUUUGCCUGGGGGACCUGUAGCCCCAUGCCAUCUCAUGCCAGUAGAGGACACCGUGUCCCCCAGCAGCACUUUGGGGUGCUCUGACUGCUCUGCUUCCCUCCAGGUGCAGGGGUGCUGCCCGGGGUCGGAGGUGUCCCAGGUCUUGUGCCUGGUGUCGGCGGUGUGCCUGGCUUGGUUCCUGGUGUCGGAGGUGUCCCUGGGGUGGCAGGAGUUGGGACACCAGCAGGAGCAGCAGCAGCAGCCAAGGCAGCUAAGUAUGGAGCUGGCGUUCCCGGUGUUGGCGUUCCCGGCGUUGGCGUUCCUGGCGUUGGCAUUGGAGGCGUGCCUGGUGUGCCUGGUGUGCCUGGUGUACCUGGUGUGCCUGGUGUACCUGGUGUGCCUGGUGUUCCUGGUGUGGCUGGUGUUCCUGGUGUGGUACCUGGCGUUGGAGGUGAGCAGAUGGGCUGGCAUGAGGGGACAACAUGGUGCCAGCUUCGCCAGUUCCCCUGACACCCUCUCUUCUGUUCCUGCAGUGGGUGGCCCAGCAGCUGCUGCUGCAGCAAAGGCUGCAGCAAAAGCAGCCGCAUUUGGAGCAGGGCGUGUGCCUGGGGUCGGCGUGCCUGGCGGUGUGCCUGGGGUCGGUGUACCAGGAGUCGGUGUUCCUGGAGUCGGAGUACCUGGAAUUGGUGUACCUGGAGUUGGAGUACCUGGGGUCGGUGUUCCCGGAGUUGGCGUACCCGGUCUGGUGCCUGGAGCUGGCCCAGCUGCUGCUGCUAAAGCAGCUGCCAAAGCUGCCAAGUACGCAGGAGCAGGUGGCUUGGCACCUGGCGUGGGAGGUCUGGCACCUGGCAUAGGAGGUCUGGCACCUGGUGUGGGAGGCCUUGCUCCUGGUGUAGGUGGCCUUGCUCCUGGUGUAGGUGGCCUGGCCCCUGGCGUUGGAGGUGUUCCAGGUGUUGGAGGUCCAGCAGCAGCCGCAAAAGCAGCAGCUAAGGCAGCCAAAUACGGUGCUGGUGUUGGAGGGGUGCCGGGUGCUGUGCCCGGUGCUCCUGGUGUGCCAGGAGUGACACCUGGCAUCGGUGGUGUGCCCGGCUUAGUGCCAGGCGUAGGGGUGCCCGGUGCCGGCGUUCUCCCCGGAGCAGGCAUCCCUCAGGUCGGGGUGCAGCCUGGUGCUAAGCCUCCCAAAUUCGGUGUGCCCGGGGCUGGGGUCCCAGGGGUCGGUGGCAUCCCAGGUGGCCUCGGAGUUGGUGGCCUUGGAGUUGGUGGCCUCGGUGCUGGUGAGUGGAGCUGGUGGGCUUGGUGUGGGAGUCCCAGGGAUGGAAGGGCUGAAAAAGAAAUGGCAUUUUGGGGAUGCAGAGCUACACUGUCCCCUCACAGCUGCGACUUGCAGGACUGGAUUUUGGGGAGCAGGAAAGGACAGGGGCAUGGGUCCCAUGGUCCCCAUAUCCCUACCCUGCUCUGUCACUCUGCCUUCUCUGUGCCCUGGGGUACAACAGGGAGGGGAUGGCCACAGCCCCAGCAUGGCCCAGGCCAUGGAGACAGGGAACUGUACAGCAGUGACCACAAUGUAUGAGACACCUGUGAAUCCUCUGGACUCAGUGUGGGGGCUCUGCUGAUGCCCCUCUUUGAUGUAGGGCUCUUGUAUCCAGGAGCUGCUGGAAAACCUCCUAAGCCAGGUAAGGAGCAGGGACAGCCGUGGCUGCACUCUGGUGAUACCCCCAUCCCCAUGCCUUCACCAGGGCUCUCCCUUCACACAGCUUUUGGUGCUGGGGGGCUGCAGCCAGGUGAGCGCUGGGGCUGAGGGUUGAGGUGGGGCUGUCACUGCCCACACUGCUGUGCUCCGUGUCUCCAUGCCACUGCCUCGCGGGGCGCACCGGGUGGGCAUAGUGGGGAUGUGGCUUUUGGGGCAGCUCGCAGCCAGCUGUAGGCUGGGGACACCGUAGACAUGCAGGGCUGUCACUGCUUGUCACUGCUGUCACUUUUCCCCCCCAGGGGCUGGAGUUCCCGGUUUUGGUGUGUCACCGAUAUUUCCAGGUACUUUUCCCUGUGCCCUUUGCCCAUGAGGACACACAGCCCACAGGGACAUACAGCCCAUAGGGCAUGGGGACGUGGCCACAGGGGAGUGGGGCAGGGCUGGGCUGGGGGGCACAGGGCAGAGCAUCCGGAAGCCAAUGAGGUUUUACUGUGCUUGCAGGUGGGGUUGGUGGCCAGCUGGGAUUUGGCGGUGAGUGCACUCUGGUCACACGCAUGGGGAUGUUGGGUUGGAGUCCCCUCAAAAGGCACUUGUCCCCACGCUGCCCCCCGCCCCACUCAUCUCUCUGCCUUGUCCCCACAGGGAAGCCCCCCAAGACCUACGGAGGAGCCCUGGGGGCCCUGGGCUUUAGAGGUGAGCGCUGUUUGGCUUUUCCCCACCCCUCCUCCGAGCACCUUUUUGGGGCACAGCUGGGGGGCUGAUCCACUCUCCCCCCUCCAUCCCCAGGUGGAAUUGGCUGUGCACAAGGGAAAUACUGCGGGAGGAAGCGGAAGUAACCGCCCACCGUCACCGAUGACCUCAUGAACUUUGGUGCUACUGCAUGGUCCAGAAUGUAAAUCCCCACCAAGCUGAGACCCCCCUGGCCCCACGCUCCCGGCAGGGACCCCACGGCAGCGUCAGGGGCCGCCCCCCCACCUCGGGAACCCCC
rnacentral:lncRNA from 1 species